rnacentral:rRNA from 1 species
AUGUCAACUUCAUCUAUGAAUAUCCGUCCUGCAGAUGGUUCAACGACCCGAAACAAAGCCUGGAUGAGAGUAGACUUCCCACUCCCUGUCCGCCCUACCACCCCAAUUUUCCUUUCUCCAGGAAAUGUGCAGCUUAUGCCCUUGAGAACCAUGGGCAUGUCAGGGCUGUACUGA